rnacentral:lncRNA from 1 species
CCCGCUUGACAUUGGUCUUGUACGGGCCUGUUGGUCAAGAUUCUAACCCGUGUUGAUUUUUUUACUGUCACGAACCUGACCCGUUUAUUCACACUGGUCCCACCAAUAAACAGGUGCCCCGUGACCGGCCAGUGUGAAAAUACCAUCAACUAAGGCUUUUCAAUGACUGCAGUUUAGGGAUUUACUAACCAUUAUUCAAAAUGAAUUGCUUGGAAUGAAAUUCCUGCGAAGCAUCUAAAUAAAACAGAGCUGAAGUGUCAAUAUAUACAACUAUCAUCAUGGUUCGAUACAAAAACCCAACACAGUUCUGGCCACAAACCGGCCACAACCGUUGUCACCAACUACUGUAUCAGUAUACAAGUUUCAAUAUAAUAGUUCAAGCCAUUUAAAAGUCCUAUUACUAUCACACAGUAAAGGUCUAACAAAACUAGCAUGCUAGGGUCACUGCCCUCAAUCGUGUCCUCCCUCAUUCAUCACUGAAAUGAGUUCUUCGACAACGUCUAAGCACUGGCUAGUGUGAGUAAGGUUAAUAAAACAUACAUGCACCCAUGAAAAUAGAGAAAUCAGGUUCAUUUAAAACAAGAAAUGAAACCACUUUUGUCAAUCCAUGCCUCAACUAGGCCAUCCCUGACUAUCAGUCAAGAUACAAUAGAAAAUCAAUCCCUCCCACGGGAUUCAUGGCUCAGGUACGACAUCAUACAUCAAAGUGUACAUUCUAUAUACGAUUGGACAAUUGCGACACACUAACCGUUCAACGAACCACCAGAACAUAGGAGCGACCCUAACCCUUGGGAUGAUCAUCCCACAAUCAUCUGGUAAUGAUCUCCUUAUACAAUCAACCACGCUAUAUUCUUCCCCUAGCGCACGGGGCAUCGUAAUGAAACUAUGUGUCGACUUAAAACAACAUUUCACAAAUGUUUCAUAAUUUCAUGUAUAUUCAAAAAUAAAGCAUGCUUUUUUUAACCAUAAAAACAUUCAGUUUAAACACAAGCCAUGCUUUCACAUAUAAAACAGUUACUUUAUUGCUAUGAAUACAUAACAAGACUCACUGGAAUAUGCCACGAAGAUCUUCCUAUACACCGUGACUAACGUCAAGCUACGUUCCUGAAAUUCGGCCCUAGUAUAAUAUUCGAUACGAACCAUAGAUUGUAUUUUACGUUGGCUAUAAAUAUCCUAAUUUCAUAUUAUCAAAUUAGAUAAUAUAAUUUUGAAUUUUCUAUAGAAUUUCUUGAAUUAAUUUUCAGAAACAAACACUUAGUCUAUGAAUUUAUAAAAUCGUCAAUUCUAUUGAUCCAAGACUUUUCAUAAUAUACUAGACACAGACAUUUAUUACAGUAUAAUUUUAUAAAUUAAUACAUAGCUUUACAUUUUUAGAAAUUCAUUAAACAAUUCUAAUUUUUGCAAAAUAUCGGUACUGACCAUGUUUAGUUAAAAUUAUUUGGGCAUGAAAUAAUAUCCAUUAAUUCGUGAAAUUAAAUAUGUAAUUUACCGGAACAUAUAAAUUUUCUAGCAUAUAAAAAUUUCAGAAUUUUCUAACAAACGAAACUAUUUUUUAUCAAAAAUUCAUAAAGCCUCUGUUCGAACCAAUUUAUUUUCCAGUUUUUCAAAAAGCACUGUAAACGUCAAUUUUGAUUAACUUAGAAGUCUGAAUUUUACAAAACGUUCUAAAUAAAAGUUUUUUUAGAUAAUUUUGAUACCUUUCCAACUCAAACUUCGUAAAUCAAGUAAUUCGGAACCGUAUGAAAAAGUAGAUCGAAAUACGUAGAUGUUCCAGUAAAAAAGUUGAAUUCCGAAUUCGGACUUUUUGAUUUAGAAAAAAAUACGUAUAUAAAUGUAAAUUUGGAGUAUUUAGCGGAUUGGAUUUACAUUAAACUAGAUACGGUGUUCUAUAAUAAGGCUUUAAAUAAAUAAAUAAGAUUAAGUUGAAUUCCCUUGACGAAAAAAAAAAAAAAACACGACCUCAGUCUUUCUUUUCUUUCUUAUAUUUCUCUUAUGUACCUUCCUUUCUAUGUUUGGUUUAUGUUGUUGACUUGGGAAUGAAAAUGGGGAGUGCAGAGAGAUGCAGGAGUAGGCUUUAUAGAAUAGGUUUUGGCUUAUUAGGCUAGUGGAUUACUCUUCAUACAUGUCACACAUGACUAACACCACCCUCACCAAUAGCAUGCAAUAUGCACACACACUCUCAUCAAACAAAUUAUGGUUUGGUUGAGAUGAAAUGAAAGAGGGGCUGGAUCCACACACCAACGGUCCCAUUGGCACACACUCAUGCGUCACCCCCAGUGUCCACCGUGUGUCGUCAACGUGUCGUAUUUAUCGUGUUCCGGUUUCUCACUAAUUUCAUACUUUAUUGCGAAAAAAAUAAAAUAUUGAAUUGAUUACUAAUAUUAAUACCUGUUUUCGCGUACGGGUAUUACAAUUUACAGUCCUGCUACGAAGCUCUGAUCCAAAUUGACUCUUAAAUUCUUUUUUUGAGUGGAGAAAAGCCUAGCCCCUUUUUUGGAAU